UAGAGAGUAGUAAAAAGGAAUUACAGAGGGUUUUGAUCUCUCCGUUGUAGGUUCGAUUCCUAUUUCUUUAA
rnacentral:tRNA from 1 species